CAUUGUGGAUCGUGUACUAAAUACUAUACUAAAAUUGGAACGAUACAGAGAAGAUUUGCAUGGCCUUUGUGCAAGCAUAUAUUCUUACUAUUGUUUCCCCUUCCAU